GGGGAAAAUUAAUAAAUUAAAUUUAAUAAAAAAAAUUUUAAUAUUAAAAAGAAAAAUGGGGGUUUGAGUAUUUUUAAUAGAAAAAAUUAAUAGAUUUAUAGUUAAAUAUUACUGUAAAGGAAUUUAUAAAUAAAUGAAAUAUAAUUAAUAAAAAAGUAAAUUUAAAUUAUUGUAUCUUGUGUAUCAGAGUUUAUUAAAUAAUAAUAAUUUAUUUAAAUAAAUCUCGAAUUUAAAAGAGUUAAUUAAUUAAAAAAGUUAAUGUUGUAUAAUUAUUUUAAAUAAUUAAUUAGAAAUGAAAUGUUAAUCGUUUUUAAAUAUAUCUAGUUUUUUCAGAAAAAAAUUUAAUUUUAAAUUUAAAUAAUUUUAUAAUUAUUUAAUUAAUUAUAAAAAUUUAAAUUUUAAUAUUUUGGGGGAUAAGCUUUAAAUUAAAAAUUUAUAAUUAAUAAAAUAACUAAAAUUAAAAUUUUUAAAAUUUAUAUUGUUUAAAAAUUAUAAUUUAUUAUAAAAAAUUUUAUUUAAAAAUAAAAUUUAAAAUUGAAAAUUUAAAUUUUUAUGAAAAAAUAAUUUAUAAUUUAAUAAAAUUAAAAAUAAUGAUAAAAUUAGUAUAAUAUAAUAAAUUAAAAAAAAAAUUAUAAUUAAGUAAAUUAAAGGAAUUCGGCAAAAUUUUAUAUUCACUUGUUUAUCAAAAACAUGUCUUUUUGAUAAUAAUUUAAAGUCUAAUCUGCCCACUGAUAAUAUAUUAAAGGGCUGCAGUAUAUUGACUGUACAAAGGUAGCAUAAUCAUUAGUCUUUUAAUUGAAGACUUGUAUGAAAGAUUUGAUGAAAUAUAAACUGUCUCUAAUUUAUGUUUAGAAAUUAAUUUUUUAGUUAAAAAGCUAAAAUAAUAUUAAAAGACGAGAAGACCCUAUAGAGUUUUAUAUUUUAUUUAAUUAAUAUAAAAUAUAUAGUUAAAUAUGUUAAUUAAAUAAAAUAUUAUGUUGGGGUGAUAAAAAAAUUUAAUAAACUUUUUUUUUAGUUUAUACAUAGAUAAGUGAUUAAUUGAUCCAUUAAUAAUGAUUAAAAGAAAAAAUUACCUUAGGGAUAACAGCGUAAUAUUUUUUUUUAGUACAUAUAAAAAAAAAAGUUUGCGACCUCGAUGUUGGAUUAAGAUAAAAUUUAAAUGCAAAAGUUUAAAAUUUUGAUCUGUUCGAUCAUUAAAAUCUUACAUGAUCUGAGUUCAAACCGGUGUAAGCCAGGUUGGUUUCUAUCUUUAAUAAAGAAAAAUAUUUUAGUACGAAAGGAUCAGAUAUUUAAAAUAAUUUUAUAAAAAUGAAUAUUAAUAAAAUAGUUUAU
rnacentral:rRNA from 1 species